AUUGAACGCUGGCGGCAGGCCUAACACAUGCAAGUCGACCGGAGCGGCGGACGGGUGAGUAAUGCCUAGGAAUCUGCCUGGUCGUGGGGGAUAACGUCCGGAAAAGGGCGCUAAUACCGCAUACUAUCAGAUGAGCCUAGGUCGGAUUAGCUAGUUGGUGGGGUAAAGGCCUACCAAGGCGGCGAUCCGUAACUGGUCUGAGAGGAUUAUCGGUCACACGGGAACUGAUGCACGGUCCAGGCUGCUACGGGAGGCAGCAGGGGGGAAUAGGGGACAAUGGGAGAAAGCGUGAGCCCGCCAUGCCGCGUGUGUGAAGAAGUUCUUCGGAUUGUAAAGCACUUUAAGUUGGGAGGCGUUACCAACAGAAUAAGCACCGGCGAACUUCGUGGCAGCAGCCGCGGGUAUUC
rnacentral:rRNA from 1 species